UACGGAGGGUGCGAGCGUUGUCCGGAAUCACUGGGCGUAAAGGGCGCGUAGGCGGCGCGGGAAGUCCGUGGUGAAAGCCCGAGGCUCAACUUCGGGUCGGCCAUGGAUACUCCUGGGCUUGAGCACUGUAGAGGCAGGUGGAAUUCCGGGUGUAGCGGUGGAAUGCGUAGAGAUCCGGAAGAACACCGGUGGCGAAGGCGGUCUGCUGGGCCAAGACUGACGCUGAGGCGCGACAGCGUGGGGAGCAAACAGG
rnacentral:rRNA from 1 species